rnacentral:rRNA from 1 species
CCUACGGGUGGCAGCAGUGAGGAAUAUUGGUCAAUGGGCGGGAGCCUGAACCAGCCAAGUCGCGUGAGGGAAGACGGUCCUACGGAUUGUAAACCUCUUUUGCCGGGGAGCAACGGGGUCCUUGCGAGGGCCCGAUGAGAGUACCCGGAGAAAAAGCAUCGGCUAACUCCGUGCCAGCAGCCGCGGUAAUACGGAGGAUGCGAGCGUUAUCCGGAUUUAUUGGGUUAAAAGGGUGCGUAGGCGGACUGGAAAGUCAGCGGUAAAAUCGAGAGGCUCAACCUCUUUCCGCCGUUGAAACUGUCGGUCUUGAGUGGGCGAGAAGUAUGCGGAAUGCGUGGUGUAGCGGUGAAAUGCAUAGAUAUCACGCAGAACUCCGAUUGCGAAGGCAGCAUACCGGCGCCCGACUGACGCUGAGGCACGAAAGCGUGGGUAUCGAACAGGAUUAGAUACCCUGGUAGUC